ensembl:lncRNA
AGACGGAGCCAUUGACAGUGCAAAGGCGUCAAGAGGCAAUGUGCAACCUGAACCCAGUACAGGAUAUAUAACAUGACAACACAGCCAAUCUAACUCAUUUUAUAUCCACAUGCUUUGGUCCUGUUGUAAUGUAUCAAGAGGCGUCAGGCUAAGAUUAUCACCUCACACUGAACCCCAAAACUCACCCCGGUGGUGACAGAGUUCAUUUGCUUUAAAGAUGAUGACAUUAAUUUCCCCUUUUGACUCAGAUUAACCCAUUUACGCACACACCCUCAUAAACACACACACACAUUCAGUGUACUGUACACAUUAACAAACAAACACACACACACACACACUGCGGGCACUGUCAUACACACUGCAGUGUCAUAAUCUCCUGGGACAGAGAGAGGGGGAGAGAGCGAUAGAGAGAGAAUGACAGAGAGAGGGGGAGAGAGAGCGAUAGAGAGAGGGAGAGAGAGAGAGCGAGCGAUAGAGAGAGAAUGAUAGAGGGGGAGAGAGUGAUAGAGAGAGAGAGAAAAUGACAGAGGGGGAGAGAGAGUGAGAAUGACAGAGAGAGAGAGAUGGAGAGAGAGAAAGAGAGCGAGAGAGAGAGAUUGAGAGACAGCUAUACAGAGAGAGUGAUAGAGAGAUAAUGACAGACAGAGGGGGAGAGAGAGCGAUAGAGAGAGAAUGAUAGAAGGGGAGAGAGAGAGCAAUAGAGAGAGAGAGACAGAUAGUGAGAGAGAGAGAGAGAGAGAGAUGGAGAUGGAGAGACACAGCUAUACAUAGGGAGUGAGAGAGAGAGAGAGAGAGAAAGAGAUGGAGAUGGAGACACAGCUAUACAUAGAGAGUGAGAGAGAGAGAGAUGGAGAUGGAGACACAGCUAUACAUAGGGAGUGAGAGAGAGAGAGAGAGAGAGAGAGAUGGAGAUGGAGACACAGCUAUACAUAGGGAGUGAGAGAGAGAGAGAGAGAGAAAGAGAUGGAGAUGGAGACACAGCUAUACAUAGGGAGUGAGAGAGAGAGAGAGAGAGAAAGAGAUGGAGAUGGAGAGACACAGCUAUACAUAGAGAGAGAGAGAGAGAGAUGGAGAUGGAGACACAGCUAUACAUAGGGAGAGAGAGAGAGAGAGAGAGAGAUGGAGAUGGAGACACAGCUAUACAUAGGGAGUGAGAGAGAGAGAGAGAGAGAAAGAGAUGGAGAUGGAGACACAGCUAUACAUAGGGAAGAAGAGAGAUGGAGAUGGAGACACAGCUAUACAUAGGGAGUGAGAGAGAGAGAGAGAGAGAGAAAGAGAUGGAGAUGGAGACACAGCUAUACAUAGGGAUGGAGAUGGAGACACAGAGAGAGAGAGAGAGAGAGAGAUGGAGAUGGAGACACAGCUAUACAUAGAGAGUGAGAGAGAGAGAGAGAGAAAGAGAUGGAGAUGGAGACACAGCUAUACAUAGGGAGUGAGAGAGAGAGAGAGAGAGAAAGAGAUGGAGAUGGAGACACAGCUAUACAU